CCGUGGCGGGUGCUAUACAUGCAAGUCGAGCGGACGGAUGGGAGCUUGCUCCCAGACCGUCAGCGGCGGACGGGUGAGUAACACGUGGGCAACCUGCCUGUAAGACUGGGAUAACUCCGGGAAACCGGGGCUAAUACCGGAUAACUCUUUUCCUCACAUGAGGAAAAGCUGAAAGAUGGCAUCUCGCUAUCACUUACAGAUGGGCCCGCGGCGCAUUAGCUAGUUGGUGAGGUAACGGCUCACCAAGGCGACGAUGCGUAGCCGACCUGAGAGGGUGAUCGGCCACACUGGGACUGAGACACGGCCCAGACUCCUACGGGAGGCAGCAGUAGGGAAUCUUCCGCAAUGGACGAAAGUCUGACGGAGCAACGCCGCGUGAGUGAUGAAGGUUUUCGGAUCGUAAAACUCUGUUGUCAGGGAAGAACAAGUACCGGAGUAACUGCCGGUACCUUGACGGUACCUGACCAGAAAGCCACGGCUAACUACGUGCCAGCAGCCGCGGUAAUACGUAGGUGGCAAGCGUUGUCCGGAAUUAUUGGGCGUAAAGCGCGCGCAGGCGGUUCCUUAAGUCUGAUGUGAAAGCCCCCGGCUCAACCGGGGAGGGUCAUUGGAAACUGGGGAACUUGAGUGCAGAAGAGAAGAGUGGAAUUCCACGUGUAGCGGUGAAAUGCGUAGAGAUGUGGAGGAACACCAGUGGCGAAGGCGACUCUUUGGUCUGUAACUGACGCUGAGGCGCGAAAGCGUGGGGAGCAAACAGGAUUAGAUACCCUGGUAGUCCACGCCGUAAACGAUGAGUGCUAAGUGUUAGAGGGUUUCCGCCCUUUAGUGCUGCAGCAAACGCAUUAAGCACUCCGCCUGGGGAGUACGGCCGCAAGGCUGAAACUCAAAGGAAUUGACGGGGGCCCGCACAAGCGGUGGAAGCAUGUGGUUUAAUUCGAAGCAACGCGAAGAACCUUACCAGGUCUUGACAUCUCCUGACAACCCUAGAAGAUAGGGCGUU
rnacentral:rRNA from 1 species